rnacentral:snoRNA from 1 species
CCAGUGUGGAUAUCCCAGGAAGUCAUGCUCCCUGGGCUCUGUCCAAAUGAUGUAGGAGAGCCUGGGGCUCUACUCCAUAAUGCCCAGUCUCCUGCAGCUCUGGAGAUGAAUCUGGGCUUUGUGUGUGUACCUGUAAAGUCCUGAAACUUCCCAGAAUGCACUGGUCAGUGACUGGGAGUGAAGGCUUUGAGGGAAUGCCC